rnacentral:rRNA from 1 species
AGUGAACGCUGGCAGUAGGCCUAACACAUGCAAGUCGAACGGCAGCACAGGAGAGCUUGCUCUCUGGGUGGCGAGUGGCGGACGGGUGAGGAAUACAUCGGAAUCUACUCUGUCGUGGGGGAUAACGUAGGGAAACUUACGCUAAUACCGCAUACGACCUACGGGUGAAAGCAGGGGACCUUCGGGCCUUGCGCGAUUGAAUGAGCCGAUGUCGGAUUAGCUAGUUGGCGGGGUAAAGGCCCACCAAGGCGACGAUCCGUAGCUGGUCUGUGAGGUUGAGCAGCCACACUGGAACGGAGACACGGUCCAGACUCCUACGGGAGGCAGCAGUGGGGAAUAUUGGACAAUGGGCGCAAGCCUGAUCCAGCCAUACCGCGUGGGUGAAGAAGGCCUUCGGGUUGUAAAGCCCUUUUGUUGGGAAAGAAAUCCAGCUGGCUAAUACCCGGUUGGGAUGACGGUACCCAAAGAAUAAGCACCGGCUAACUUCGUGCCAGCCGCCGCGGUAA